AGCCAGACUCCUACGGGAGGCAGCAGUGGGGAAUAUUGCACAAUGGGGGAAACCCUGAUGCAGCGACGCCGCGUGAGUGAAGAAGUAUUUCGGCAUGUAAAGCUCUAUCAGCAGGGAAGAAAAUGACGGUACCUGAUUAAGAAGCCCCGGCUAACUACGUGCCAGCAGCCGCGGUAAUACGUAGGGGGCAAGCGUUAUCCGGAUUUACUGGGUGUAAAGGGAGCGUAGACGGUGAUGCAAGUCAGAAGUGAAAGCCCGGGGCUCAACUCCGGGACUGCUUUUGAAACUGUGUGACUGGAGUGCAGGAGAGGUAAGCGGAAUUCCUGGUGUAGCGGUGAAAUGCGUAGAUAUCAGGAGGAACACCAGUGGCGAAGGCGGCUUACUGGACUGUAACUGACGUUGAGGCUCGAAAGCGUGGGGAGCAAACAGGAUUAGAUACCCGAGUA
rnacentral:rRNA from 1 species